rnacentral:lncRNA from 10 species
GCUCUGGUUCAUAUUCUUCUACUUGUAGAUAGCUGGUUACUACAUCUUUCAAAAUAUGAUUGACGGUGACCACAGGAAAAUGUUUGGGAGGACCUGAAAAUACACAUAAAAUUUAUUUCUAAAAAGUAAUUUCAAAUCACACCCACCCACCCCAUAGGCUAAUCAAAAGAGUAUGGAAACAUGGAGGGAUUUAAUCUUCUGGGUGGACUCUAUUGAAAGAAACAAGUGGCUCUAAUUAGGUUUCCUGUCAAGUGCUCUGAGAGAGAACAAGAAGACAAUAUUUUCGUACAUUUACGUGACUAUCUCAAAAGUGUGUUCAAUACUGCUGGGGUUUGACCUUGAAAGUCUCUUCCUUCCCAGGCCCCAUUGUUGUGGACAUACUUCAAAGUCUCAACAACUUUAUAACUGGCUCUCUACCUCUUAUAUCUCCCGCUCCAAUCUAUCUACCAGAUCUUAAAUGACAUUCCCCUUAGCGAGGUCUAAAGUGUGAUUCCCUACUGCCCCUUCUCCCGCUACCACAGUGCCCCUCUUGUGGACUGCUCCAGCCUCACAGGCUCCAUCUGUCUAUAAAGGUGCUCCUGUGUCCUUACUCUUGCUCUUUAGUUUUCAAAUGGAAUAUCUUUCCCCAUCUUGUUCAUCUGAGAAACAGCCACUCAUGUUUCAAGACCAUCUCAAAUGUCUUCUUCUCCAGGUAGCACUCUACCUCCUCUCAGGUAAAAAUGUCCCUCCUUUCCAUGCACUGGGUCCCCACUGCCAUCCUGGCUCCUAAUCCACUUGAUAUUGGCUAAAGCAUACCUGCGUUUCCAGUGAAAUGGUAAGCAAGCUCGGAUUUUAUCCUCCUCAGAGUCUAAUACAAUGCUAAAGGCAUAAGAAAUUUUUAAUGUAUGAUUUCUGAAUUUAAAUAGAAUUAAAUUUUAUAGAUAAUCAUUAUAUAUGAUAUAUGACUGUAUAUUGUAUACAUAUAUAAUAAUGAAUACUUUUUAUUAAGCCGUUGCUACAUGUCAGGCAGUGCGAUAAGCACUUCAUAUUACCUUAUAUAGUCUUCCAAUAGAUCUCUGAGGUGAAUCUCACUGUUAUCUCCAUUUGGCAGGUGGGGAAACAGAGAUUUAUAUACAUUGAGUAACCUGCCCAGAAUCACACAGAGAGGCAGAGCUGGGGUGCACACCCAGGUUUAUCUGAUGCUAGAGCUUAUAUUCUCGACCACAUUUCAUCCACGUUCAGAGGAGAAGCUUCAAAUGAAUCUUCUUCCUCCUGCAUCCCAGGAAUAUUAGCCAUAUCAUCACUUUGGUCAUAUACUAAUGUCAUUGCAUGACAUGAACAUGUGCCCAGGGCCUGGCAUACAGAAGCCCAGUCAUUAUUUGUUGAAUUGAUAAAGAUGAAGGAAUGAGAUCAAGAAUUCUAUUCAAUUCUCUUUUAAUAUAUGUCAAUAUCUAGUAAUAAGUGUUUGUUUGUGAUGACUGUAUCUGUCAGGGUCAAAUGAAACAUAUGGCACCCUAUAGUUAAAAUAAUUCCAGGAGGAAGUUCUGAGUGGGCUGUAGAAAAUCACAAGGGAUAGUGCAGCACCCCUCAGCCAGUGAAAGUAAGGUUGUCAGCCCACCCCUCCCACCCCAAGAUUGGGGAAUAGAGGAAGAGCUUUUAAUAGAUCCCAGAAGGGUCAUGUGGAGAGGGCUCCCUUGGGAGCAGUUUCUGUCCUUUGGUUGAAGAAUGUAACCAGGCUGUGAUGAACUCACAGGCAGGAGCCAGGGAAAUAAACAGCUCCACCUCACACUUCUCACUCCCUCUGCCUCUCAGCUGAGGUUUCCCACUGGCUGAACUUAACCAGAAGGUUACAGCCUCUGACUGCAGUUCAGUUAGGUGAGCCUCUUGAGGUUCUAUAAAUCGUUAUUUUUAUUUUGAUGAUAAUAUAGAAAUUGUUGAAUUCCACUUAAAUCGUGGAAGGGUGGGGGUGGAGAUUGAAUCUAGAAAGUGGUUCUUAAAGAUCUCCCCAUCAUCUCCUGCGAACCCAAGCCUAGGGCAUGGUUGAUUAACCCAGGGUGACAAUGCUCUAGGCCAGGACAAUGAGAGUCUUUUUUUGGAAUUUUUAUUUUAAACUGCAAGUAGGAAAAAAGAGUCAGCCUCUUUCUGGUGGCAAAAGUUACCAUGUGACUCUGAGGACCUGCUGGAGGACAUGUUUUUCAUGGUGGUAAGGAGGCCAGGCCACCAAAAGAGAAGAAAGUGCACAUAGGUUAGUGCUGGAAAGAGGGUCCUGGUGGCACUUGAGUCUGUUUCCAGUAGUUCCCGUUGUACAGUGCUACCAAUGUCCUUUCCAUACUUCGCUUAGAUUAAAAAAAAAGUCAUUAACCAGAUCCUGUUUUGAAAAUACUUUGAAAUAUGGUAAUGAAGUAUUCUUUUCUUACUUCUUUGUUACCUUUCCCCUAAACAUCCAGAAUCAUCCAUCAAUGUUCAGUUUCUGACUUCUGAAAUAAGCUCCUAAAACUAGUUUCAGAGUAAACUGAUGUGAAUGGCAAAGCUUUUCUUCUUUCUCGAGAUUUUUUUUUUCCUUAGGAGAAAAAACGUGUUUUAGAAAUCAAAAGGCAAAGACCUGAAGGAUCAAGACAAAAAAAAUUUUAAAAACAAACAAAACUUGUCCUUAAAAAGUAGAUAAAGAUAAGUUUACUUAAUGUAUGUGGGCCUCCACUACCCCACAUUGGGGUAAUAAUAAUAAUUACUACAUUUUUUUUUGUUAGAAUUAAAUGAGACAAUAAAUUGAAUAUGUUUAGAACAGUGCUUGUCACACAAUAAAACACUCCUUAGAUAUGUGAUCUUAUUAGUGUUAUUGCUGUUAUUGUAGUUAUUGCAUGCUGAAGGAAGAAUUGGGGAUUUACCUUGCUGAGAAGGCAGCAAGAUGAAAGAGGACGUAAGUCUGGAGACAGUGAGGCCUGUGGGAUUAGGAAGGACCCCAUGUGGUGGUGUAAAAUCAAUGCUGAGAGAUUGACAGGCUCUAAGAAAACCUGACAUAGAGACAGGGCCUGAGCACUUCAUGGAAGCUGAACUCAAAUAAUCUCUCUCUUUCUCUCUCAAUAUUUUGGAUCUACUUUCUACUGUGCUGGCUUCAUUCUCAAGGCAGGCUGUCUUGAUGUGGUAGCAAAGAUGGCCGCCAAUCUAGUUUGGCUCGGUGCUCGCAGUCCAUGUUUGCAAACAACCAGGUGCCACUAUACUCAGUUCCAGAAAAAGUCCUGUGGAAAACUUAUUCCAUAAUUAAUAUGAAGUUACAAUGAAUAUCAUGGAAGGCUUUUAUUCUUAGUGAUCUAUAGUAAGGUCCUUGAGUCAGUCACUUUCAGGAGUAGUAACAUGAUGAAUGGAGAGAUUUAAACAUAUAACAUCAUUUGAGUCUCAUAGCAUCCAUGUGAUGUAUAGACUAUUAUCCCUAUUUACAAGUGAAGACACUGAGAUUCAAUGAUGCUAAAUACCUUGCUCAAGGAAUUAGCAAAAUUAGUAUUCAAAUUCAGAUACGACAGAUGCCACAGCCUGCAUUUUCUUUUAUAUUUGUUUUAGUAAUUAAUGAGAAAUAUAUAAAUGGUAUUUUAUUAAAAGAAACACACUUUCCUUUUCUAUUCCCUUUUCUCCUCUCAUGAAUGAUACUCAUGUUUCAUCUCAUUUUUUGUAGCUGUAAUUAUUUAUGUAAAUGCUCUCAUUUAAGAUGUGUUUAGAUGAGGCAAACAUUAUUGAAUGGAAUGAAAAAUUAAUUAAACAUAAUAGUGCUGGUGAUUGGCUGAUAUUUCCCUCUACUUUUCUGGCCAGUAUUACAUUGUAAAGAUAUGAUAAACUAUUUACCAAAGUCCCACUGAUAUAGUUUGGAUAUUUGUCCCCUUCAAAUCUCAUAUUGAAAUGUGAUCCCCAGUGUUGGAGGUGGGGCCUGGUGGGAGGUGUUGGGGCCAGGAAGGUGGAUCCCUCAUGAAUGGCUUGGUGCUGUCCCAGCGGUAAUUACUGAGUUCUUGCUCUAUAGUUCUUCCUCUAUUAGUUCACAUGAGAGCUGGGUGUUUAAAACAGCCUGGCACCUCUCUUGUUCCCUCUCUUGCCAUGUGACAUGCCAACUCUCCUUCCCUUCUGCCAUGCCUAAAAGCUUACUGAGGUCUUACCAGAAGCAGAUGUUGGCACCACGUUUCCUGUAUAGUCUCUAGAACCAUGAGCCAAAUAAACCUGUUUUCUUUAUAAAUUACAGUCUCAGGUAUUUCUUUAUAGCAAUGCAAAAACGGACUAAUACACUCACAAAAUACCUUUCAUAUGUGAAAUAAACCCAGAAACAAGUAGAAGUGGAAACACAGUUUUGAUUAAGUAUUAAUAAAAUGGCUGGUUGAAUGCUAUAAAAAGGGAAUUGUCAAGCAUAAAAUAUUUUAAUUAUUAAAAAAUUCACAUAGACUAUUGUAGGAAAAUACAGGUAUAUUUCAUCUAUACUAAGCUUUUUCUAAAAUUACUUUUCUAAUGUGGUUCAUACUCAGUACUUCUAAAACUGAUAAGAUGCUUUAUUUGAGAAAACAAGUUGCAAAAAAUAUCCUUAUGUAGAAACACAGAGAUUCACAUUUCACUGGCCCUGUCUUGUUCAAAUCUGAUUCAAACCCUUCCAGCAUGCACAGUUCAAAGUCAUAGACACCCCAUGGCUAAGAACUUUUAGUUGCAAGUGAGGGAAAACCUGACCCAAACUUAGCUUGCCUAACUGAAAAGUUAAAGGGUAGCCAAUUGGAUUUAGGACUCAAAUGAUGACACCAGGAUUCUGUUGUUUUCUCUCAGUUUCAAGUCAGGGCAAGGUGGCAGAUCCUGCCAGAGCCCCUACAUUCCUUCAAGUUUCAGGGCUUUAUGUUCUUCUGCAACAGGCCAAACAACAUUUUCUGAAUUUAAUCUCAAAGUCUUUGAUUGGAUUCACCAUGGUUAUAUGCCAUCCUAGAAUCAGUCACUGCUCUAUCUAUAAAGCCAGUGCCAGCUUCAUUAGAAUGCUAGGAUCAAAAGUGGUGAUGUUGGUGGAAUUUCAAAGGAAAUUUAGUGAGGUUACCAGAGAAGUAUAAAAGUAUAUUGGAUGGCAGGAAUAUUAGCUGAUGGUCUAUAAUUUUCUUGGGGUUAACUGGCCACAGAUGGAAUCACCUUGGCCCAUAGAGUCUUUCUUUGCCCCUUGGUAAAUCUCUGUGGAAUUUCCAUAUAGCAGUAAUUAUGUAUGAAUUCAGGUAAUAGUGGGCAGGUACGCUUUUAGAGAAAACAAGUGGGUCUAUGAGGAAACAUGGAUGGGAAAAGAUAUUUGCCACGGACUCCACCUGGGAGUAUAGCGGCAGGUGCAAAGAUCUUUGUUUUCAAAGACUCAAAACCUCAGUGGUAAUGGAUAAACGUCUCUGUCAACAGGGGACUAUGAGUCAUUUGCCUUUGCUUUGAGUUUUUUUUUUUCCUUCA